UACUCCCAGCCUGGAUGACAGAGCCAGACUCUGUCUCGAAAAAAAAAAAAAAAAAAAGCUUGAUGGUGCCCAUCUCAUAUCAGCCAGGAACAAAGCGACUCCCUGUUUAUCCCAGCUUGGCUUCUGGUCUAUGCCCAUGCCUGGUUUAUGCUUUGGAUACAUAG
ensembl:snoRNA